rnacentral:rRNA from 1 species
AAUACCGCAUACGCCCUACGGGGGAAAGCAGGGGAUCUUCGGACCUUGCGCUAAUAGAUGAGCCUAAGUCGGAUUAGCUAGUUGGUGGGGUAAAGGCCUACCAAGGCGACGAUCUGUAGCGGGUUUGAGAGGAUGAUCCGCCACACUGGGACUGAGACACGGCCCAGACUCCUACGGGAGGCAGCAGUGGGGAAUAUUGGACAAUGGGCGCAAGCCUGAUCCAGCCAUGCCGCGUGUGUGAAGAAGGCCUUAUGGUUGUAAAGCACUUUAAGCGAGGAGGAGGCUUACCUAGCUAAUAUCUAGGCUAAGUGGACGUUACUCGCAGAAUAAGCACCGGCUAACUCUGUGCCAGCAGCCGCGGUAAUACAGAGGGUGCAAGCGUUAAUCGGAAUUACUGGGCGUAAAGCGCGCGUAGGUGGCCAUUUAAGUCAAAUGUGAAAUCCCCGAGCUUAACUUGGGAAUUGCAUUCGAUACUGGAUGGCUAGAGUAUAGGAGAGGAAGGUAGAAUUCCAGGUGUAGCGGUGAAAUGCGUAGAGAUCUGGAGGAAUACCGAUGGCGAAGGCAGCCUUCUGGCCUAAUACUGACACUGAGGUGCGAAAGCAUGGGGAGCAAACAGGAUUAGAUACCCUGGUAGUCCAUGCCGUAAACGAUGUCUACUAGCCGUUGGGUCCUUUGAGGACUUAGUGGCGCAGCUAACGCGAUAAGUAGACCGCCUGGGGAGUACGGUCGCAAGACUAAAACUCAAAUGAAUUGACGGGGGCCCGCACAAGCGGUGGAGCAUGUGGUUUAAUUCGAUGCAACGCGAAGAACCUUACCUGGCCUUGACAUACUAAGAACUUUCUAGAGAUAGAUUGGUGCCUUCGGGAACUUAGAUACAGGUGCUGCAUGGCUGUCGUCAGCUCGUGUCGUGAGAUGUUGGGUUAAGUCCCGCAACGAGCGCAACCCUUUUCCUUACUUGCCAGCAUUUCGGAUGGGAACUUUAAGGAUACUGCCAGUGACAAACUGGAGGAAGGCGGGGACGACGUCAAGUCAUCAUGGCCCUUACGGCCAGGGCUACACACGUGCUACAAUGGUCGGUACAGAGGGUUGCUACACAGCGUUGUGAUGCUAAUCUCAAAAAGCCGAUCGUAGUCCGGAUUGGAGUCUGCAACUCGACUCCAUGAAGUCGGAAUCGCUAGUAAU